rnacentral:rRNA from 1 species
GAUGAACGCUGGCGGCGUGCCUAAUACAUGCAAGUCGAGCGAACAGACGAGGAGCUUGCUCCUCUGACGUUAGCGGCGGACGGGUGAGUAACACGUGGAUAACCUACCUAUAAGACUGGGAUAACUUCGGGAAACCGGAGCUAAUACCGGAUAAUAUAUUGAACCGCAUGGUUCAAUAGUGAAAGACGGUUUUGCUGUCACUUAUAGAUGGAUCCGCGCUGCAUUAGCUAGUUGGUAAGGUAACGGCUUACCAAGGCAACGAUGCGUAGCCGACCUGAGAGGGUGAUCGGCCACACUGGAACGGAGACACGGUCCAGACGCCUACGGGAGGCAGCAGUAGGGAAGCUUCCGCAAUGGGCGAAAGCUUGACGGAGCAACGCCGCGUGAGUGAUGAAGGUCUUCGGAUCGUAAAACUCUGUUAUUAGGGAAGAACAAAUGUGUAAGUAACUAUGCACGUCUUGACGGUACCUAAUCAGAAAGCCACGGCUAACUACGUG